GGCUUUAUACUUUAAGAACUAGAAGUCCUGAUUUGCACUUAGGUAGUAGGAUCAUCCUUAAAGCCC
rnacentral:tRNA from 1 species